GAUGAACGCUAGCUACAGGCUCAACACAUGCAAGUCGAGGGGUAACGAGAGGAAAGCUUGCUUUCCUUGUCGACGACCGGCGCACGGGUGAGUAACGCGUAUCCAACCUGCCCCCAACUAGGGAAUAACCUUGCGAAAGUAAGACUAAUACCCUAUAAUUUCCUCAGAUGACAUCUGACGAGGAAUAAAGAUUUAUCGGUUGUGGAUGGGGAUGCGUCUGAUUAGCUUGUUGGCGGGGUAACGGCCCACCAAGGCAACGAUCAGUAUGGGUUCUGAGAGGAAGGUCACCCACAUUGGAACUGAGACACGGUCCAAACUCCUACGGGAGGCAGCAGUGAGGAAUAUUGGUCAAUGGUCGGAAGCCUGAACCAGCCAAGUAGCGUGCAGGAUGACGGCCCUAUGGGUUGUAAACUGCUUUUAUACAGGAAUAAAGUUAGCCACGUGUGGUUAUUUGUAGGUACUGUAUGAAUAAGGACCGGCUAAUUCCGUGCCAGCAGCCGCGGUAA
rnacentral:rRNA from 1 species